AACUUGACCUCCAAGUUAUCCAAGAACACUAUUCACAUUCAGUUUAGCAGCACGGUACAAAUUUUUUUCAUCUGCCCUUCUGAACGUCCGUUUGAGCUCAAAUUUGGCAGUCAUGCUCGGUUUUAUUUAACUUACUGAAAGAAAUUUUAAUCUUUCAGUUUCGACCCCGUUUGGUCACCGAAAACUCUACCGAACUGUAAUCUUUAUCAGAUAACUGUCGGAUUUUAUUUUCUACCUUCUAGGUGUCAGAAUGGGCUGAAACUUUAAAUCUAGUCUCACAAAAAUAAUUCUGACUUAUCCUCCAGUUUUCAAAAUUUUCUGACACUGUGCAUUUUCUGCCAAUUUAUCUGCCCCGUUUCACACAGAAAAUUCUAAAUAUUCUGUUUUCGCUUUGAUUUCAGCACGGAUCAUUCCAGACUUAUAUUUCACUUCUCUAAAUCCUAUAAAAAUAGUAUCUCAUACUAUUUUUAUUUAUUUUCACUUUUAUAUUUAAAAUUCGGUAUGUUACAUUCCACCGCAAUCUCACCGGAACCAUUUAAAUGUACAUCGUAACUUCAUAGUUU
rnacentral:lncRNA from 1 species